UACGGAGGGUGCAAGCGUUAUCCGGAUUCACUGGGUUUAAAGGGUGCGUAGGUGGCUUGGUAAGUCAGUGGUGAAAGCCCGGAGCUCAACUCCGGAACUGCCAUUGAUACUGCUUAGCUUGAAUCAGGUCGGGGUGGAUGGAAUAUUACAUGUAGCGGUGAAAUGCUUAGAUAUGUAAUAGAACACCGAUUGCGAAGGCAGUUCACUAGGCCUGUAUUGACACUGAGGCACGAAAGCGUGGGGAUCAAACAGG
rnacentral:rRNA from 1 species